rnacentral:rRNA from 1 species
UAGUGGCGAACGGGUGAGUAACACGUGGGCAAUCUGCCCUUCACUCUGGGACAAGCCCUGGAAACGGGGUCUAAUACCGGAUAACACUCUGUCCCGCAUGGGANGGGGUUGAAAGCUCCGGCGGUGAAGGAUGAGCCCGCGGCCUAUCAGCUUGUUGGUGGGGUGAUGGCCUACCAAGGCGACGACGGGUAGCCGGCCUGAGAGGGCGACCGGCCACACUGGGACUGAGACACGGCCCAGACUCCUACGGGAGGCAGCAGUGGGGAAUAUUGCACAAUGGGCGAAAGCCUGAUGCAGCGACGCCGCGUGAGGGAUGACGGCCUUCGGGUUGUAAACCUCUUUCAGCAGGGAAGAAGCGAGAGUGACGGUACCUGCAGAAGAAGCGCCGGCUAACUACGUGCCAGCAGCCCGCGGUAAUACGUAGGGCGCAAGCGUUGUCCGGAAUUAUUGGGCGUAAAGAGCUCGUAGGCGGCUUGUUGCGUCGGUUGUGAAAGCCCGGGGCUUAACCCCGGGUCUGCAGUCGAUACGGGCAGGCUAGAGUGUGGUAGGGGAGAUCGGAAUUCCU